GAAGUACUCCCUCCGUCCGAAAAUACUUGUCCUAGAAAUACACGUAUCUAGGCUGAUUUUAGUUAUAGAUACAUCUAUUUUAUUCAUUUUUAAAACAUAUAUUUCCGGACGGAGGAAGUAUAUU
rnacentral:pre_miRNA from 1 species